UACGAAGGGGGCUAGCGUUGCUCGGAAUCACUGGGCGUAAAGCGCACGUAGGCGGCUUUUUAAGUCGAGGGUGAAAUCCUGGAGCUCAACUCCAGAACUGCCUUCGAUACUGGCGAUCUAGAGUCCGGAAGAGGUGAGUGGAACUCCUAGUGUAGAGGUGGAAUUCGUAGAUAUUCGCAAGAACACCAGUGGCGAAGGCGGCUCACUGGCCCGAUACUGACGCUGAGGCACGAAAGCGUGGGGAGCAAACAGG
rnacentral:rRNA from 1 species